ACACUCGAGCUUCCUUUUCUCCUUUUGCCACUUUACUUUGGAUCACAGGCCAUGCAAGGAUUGGAACCAGGAACAAUUCAGACAGAAACAAUUGUAGGCUACUAUGAGAAUUGCAAAGCAAGCACAGACGUUCUCGUUUUCUGAUUCUGUCUUGAACUCCUGACUGAUGUCUCUUCCAAACUCCCCCGAGUAUGGCUAUUCUACCCUCGCACCCACCUUCAUUACUGAUUAUGUGAAUUCUUUAUUCUUUAACACCUGUGAGAGGGAAAGGACUCUUGCCCUGAGUAGCCAGGAGAGUGCACAGACCAUCAAAGAGAAGAGCAAGAGACUCCCUAUUCCCCCAACGGUCCUCUUCUGCUAGAGGAAGUACUUACUGUAAAACAUUCCAAUUUCCUAAACAGAUCCUCUUCCCCAACGUCCCUUUUCCCCUUUUCCCUUCCAGUAAAAAUGUUGGCUCCUUACACUGGCGGCAUGGCUGUCUGGAAUUCAGCCCACCUCCGUUCUGCCCUGGUCCACUUUAUAUCCUAUUCCAAGCAGACAGAAUAAAGCAGAUCUCAGCAGAGACCUGGAAUUCGGAGUCCUGUCUAUUUCAUUCAGCCUCCAAGAAGGAAGAGCGCUCAUGCAGGAAAAACAAGUUGUCCUUUCCCAGUACCAGCCCCAGGACUGGGUUUCCAGCAAACAGACCAAGGUACAACCCCAGACGGAAACUCCCAGCCUUACUGGGGAAAAACGGGGUUUUCCAGAGACCUACUCCUUUAGGGUUUAAAAGCGCGUCCCCUGGGAGCUUCGCUUUCACUUCUCUGGGGAGUUCCGAGCUGCGAGAGCCCAGUUACUCGCCAACCUGAGCCGCUUAUCAGGUGCGACCUCAAGGAAGUACAGUACUGCGUGUCCACCUAAACCGAAUCCAGAGACUAGUCCCAUCAAUCUCACCUCCAGAAUUAAUCCUACCAGUGUCUGUACUCUUGAAGUCAUACUCAAAACAUUACUUUACAG